UCUUUUUAACUAGAUGUUUUCCAUAUAAAUCUAGUUCCAACUGCAGCACUUUUCUAGCUUACUUUUUACCCCCUAGCUUGAUUUCGUUCAAAUUUCUAUAUUGGUAUUGCUACCUUUUCGUUAGGAUUGCAUUCCAUAUGUCCAGAUUGGUUUUAAAACUAUCUUAUGCUGAAUCCAGUCAAAGCCUAAUUCCGAAUACAGGUUUAUUAGCCAGUGUAGACUUGGCUUCUAUGUGUCGGCGCCAAGUGAGAACCAAAUUAUGUAACGUUAUCAGACUGUGAAAUGUUGACAUGGUUUGGAGUCACUGUUUCUCCAGUUUUUUUAACCACAUAUCCACAAGUCUAAGAAAGUGAUCCAGCUUUUUUGAGCCCACAUGGAACUAAGGAUAGCAGAGUCAAGGUAGAGCAGAGCAAAGGACGGUGACCAAAAAAGGUUCACGGUGACCCCAAAAGGAUCACUAUUAAAAAUCGUUGUCCUCUUCAGAGCAGCGGCGCUGUACAUUCUCAUAAAUUAAAAUGGCGCAGACGUCUAUUGUUCCCAACUACUUCAACAUUACUCAAUAAGAUAUACCUAUGACACACAAGGAAUAGAAGAUCAAAAUGUAUAAUAUUAGAAAAGAGAAUUCUAGUCGUUUCCUAAAUGUUUGUUACCAUUAUAAGGCUUCAAUACUUUAAAUGGAUUUUCAUUAAAAAUAAGACCUAAAUUUUGCACAAAAUGAAAUCUUUUCAACAAAAGUCUAUGAUCUAAUGAAAACGAAAUGAAAAUAUUUAACAAGUUGUGAAAUCAUAAUAGCCUGCCAAGACAACACCUGAAUUUUUGGUGGAUGGUGAUUGUUGGUACUUGUAUUGAUAAAAUCUAGGAUAUUUGAGUAUACACAAACCAACAUUGUAAUUUUUUUUAUAUAAUAUUGAAGAAUAUCUCAACUUUAUUCUCGCAAAGAAAAAUCAUCGAAAAAUAUAAACAAUUUUAUUAGAUUAUUAAUGAUUCUGCAAUUUAAUUCUAAUUGUAAUAAUUUUUAAUUUUAGUUGUUCAUGUUGUUUUUGUUACUGCUCAUUUACAGAACAAAAACAAACAUUCGAUAAAAAGCAGAUUUGGGGA